CGUCUGCAGCAGUGCAGCUGGGAAAGAAGAGAAGGAAAGGAAGAAGAAGAGAAAGGAAAAGGGAAGAAGAGAGGAAGAGAAGGGGAGGCAGCUGUGGCAGUGGCAGCUGCAGCUGGAAGAGAAGGAGAGGAAAUAGAGCAGGGGAGGAAGAAGAGGCUGCGGCUGUGAUGGCUGCGGCCAUGGCUGCGACUGCGACUGCGGCAGUUGCAUCUGGGAAAGAAAAGAAAGGAAAGGGGGAAAAAGGGGCUGCGGACGGGAUUACGGUCGCAGCGGCAGCGACUGCAUAUGCAGCAGUUAUGUCUGCGAGAGAAGGGAGGAAGGAAGGUAGUGCGGUGGAAGGGGCUGCGAUUGUGGCAGCGGCAGCGGUGGCGGCUGUGGCAGCUGCGUUUGGGAAAGAAAAAGAAGGAAUGAGAGUACGAGAGAGCAGGUGACUGUGCCUCGAUGUUCGACACGUGGUGUAGUUGCGAAGAAAGAAAGAAAACUAGUGCACAAAACGAAACAGGGAGGGGAUGGAGGAAAAGUAGAAAAAGGAUUCGAGCGUACACCUUCUUCGAAUCUUUGGAUCAAAACCUUCAAAAGGCAAGUUUCCCGAUCGUUUCUCCUGUUAUUGUUCUAAUCUUUCCUAUUGCAAGUGUCUUGAUCUUUUCUUACUGUAAUUCUAUCUCUACAUUUGAUUUGAAUAUGAGGAACUUCGAAUUGUUCUAGCCUUGCAUUUGAUAUAUCUCUUGUUUAGACAUAUCGAUCCGAAUCUAUGCAACGUCUGAGAUUCUGACCUUUCUACCUUGUUAUGAUUAUAACUUCAUGUAUUGACCUCUGAUUUUGACAAAAAUUAUUUGAUCAGAAUAUAGACUCAUAAACCUUUCUUUUGAUAGCUUUCUUGAGUAUAUUGGAGCACGAUUGAUAGUUUGAAUCAUUUGUUCAAUGUGCCUCUUGAAUUCUGCCAGAAAUCGAGCUUUGGUCGAUUUCGCAUAUUCUGGUUUCUUUCCUUUGGAAAUUGAUAUCCUUUAGCUUUCUCAUUCAAUUGAGCUUUAUAUUACUGCUUUGAAUUCUUGUAUGUUCUUAUCCUACAUGUAUUUGGAUACCUAAAUCUGUUAUGUAAACUUCAUGUUUGUAUCAUAAUGUUUCAUAAAGGCACAUGUACAUUUCGUUGUUCCGCAUGUGCUUCCGAUAUGUCCCAAUUUAUUGUUCACAAUACCCUUUUGUACUCUGGUGUUUGUGGGAUUAUUUGGAACUUUGCCAAAAAUGGUGAAGGGUAUGUGCUUAGAGCCCGCGAUGCUCUAGAUUAUGUUUGGUGGACAUUCAGAAAUGAAUAGACCAUAUUAUGUUUGGAAUCCCACUUCACCUUCUAACUGUUUGAUAUGAAAUUCAGAGCCGACCUAGCACUUGGGUAGGGUGAGAGGGCUCGAUUAAUGGGAG
rnacentral:lncRNA from 1 species